UGUCUCAUAGAUAUAAUAUAACAUCCCACAUAGGCUUGCUUAUUAACAGAUCCGGUCACGUCACUUUUUUUAUAUAUUUUUUUUACAAUUAGAUCUUGAUGCUUAUUUUUAUGGAUUUAUUGUUUAUUUACGUCAAUCUGUGACGUUAUGGAUACUUUUGAGCGUUAUGGAACAAGUGAGUGAAUUCAACAUGGCGAAAAGGUUAUAACGGCUUAGGUUUUUACUUCCAAUGUAAAUGUACAGGAGUACAGUGGUUUUCUGUACAUUGUAUGUAACUCUAUGGGACAAGUGAAAGGCUCGAGAGAAAUAAUUUUUUUUUUAAUAAUGACGAUGAGUACUUUAUUCUGCACACAGAUGAAUGAAAUAAUGUACUCGAUAUACUUUAAUUACACGUAUAAUAUUUAAUAUCUAAUUUUACUAUACAGAAUUAUUUCUGUUAGAAAUAUGAGUUGUUUGAAAGCAAAAACGUGAGAAGUAAAACAAUAAUUAUGGAAAUUGACACAGAUUGUUGGAUGAGGUCAAUGAAUUAAUUUAUUGCAGAUGUAUUAUUUUUAUUAAAAUAUUUAUUGAAGUUA